rnacentral:rRNA from 1 species
GAUGAACGCUGGCGGCGUGCUUAACACAUGCAAGUCGAACGAUGAAGCCCAGCUUGCUGGGUGGAUUAGUGGCGAACGGGUGAGUAACACGUGAGUAACCUGCCCUUAACUCUGGGAUAAGCCUGGGAAACUGGGUCUAAUACCGGAUAGGAGCGUCCACCGCAUGGUGGGUGUUGGAAAGAUUUAUCGGUUUUGGAUGGACUCGCGGCCUAUCAGCUUGUUGGUGAGGUAAUGGCUCACCAAGGCGACGACGGGUAGCCGGCCUGAGAGGGUGACCGGCCACACUGGGACUGAGACACGGCCCAGACUCCUACGGGAGGCAGCAGUUGGGAAUAUUGCACAAUGGGCGAAAGCCUGAUGCAGCGACGCCGCGUGAGGGAUGACGGCCUUCGGGUUGUAAACCUCUUUCAGUAGGGAAGAAGCGAAAGUGACGGUACCUGCAGAAGAAGCACCGGCUAACUACGUG